rnacentral:rRNA from 1 species
UACGGAGGGUGCGAGCGUUAAUCGGAAUCACUGGGCGUAAAGCGCGCGUAGGCGGCUUUUCAAGUCAGGGGUGAAAUCCCACGGCCCAACCGUGGAACUGCCUUUGAAGCUGUAGAGCUUGAGUGUCGGAGAGGGUGGCGGAAUUCCAGGUGUAGGAGUGAAAUCCGUAGAUAUCUGGAGGAACACCGGUGGCGAAGGCGGCCACCUGGACGACAACUGACGCUGAGGUGCGAAAGCGUGGGUAGCAAACAGG